rnacentral:rRNA from 1 species
UACGAAGGGGCUAGCGUUGCUCGGAAUCACUUGGGCGUAAAGGGUGCGUAGGCGGGUCUUUAAGUCAGGGGUGAAAUCCUGGAGCUCAACUCCAGAACUGCCUUUGAUACUGAGGAUCUUGAGUUCGGGAGAGGUGAGUGGAACUGCGAGUGUAGAGGUGAAAUUCGUAGAUAUUCGCAAGAACACCAGUGGCGAAGGCGGCUCACUGGCCCGAUACUGACGGCUGAGGCACGAAAGCGUGGGGAGCAAACAGG